rnacentral:rRNA from 1 species
AGAGUUUGAUCCUGGCUCAGAACGAACGCUGGCGGCAGGCUUAACACAUGCAAGUCGAGCGCCCCGCAAGGUGAGCGGCAGACGGGUGAGUAACGCGUGGGAACAUACCCUUUGGUUCGGAAUAACUCAGGGAAACUUGAGCUAAUACCGGAUACGUCCGUAAGGAGAAAGAUUUAUCGCCAAAGGAUUGGCCCGCGUCCGAUUAGCUAGUUGGUGAGGUAACGGCUCACCAAGGCUACGAUCGGUAGCUGGUCUGAGAGGAUGAUCAGCCACAUUGGGACUGAGACACGGCCCAAACUCCUACGGGAGGCAGCAGUGGGGAAUAUUGGACAAUGGGCGCAAGCCUGAUCCAGCCAUGCCGGGUGAGUGAU